rnacentral:rRNA from 1 species
UACAGAGGGGCAAGCGUUGUUCGGAAUUACUGGGCGUAAAGGGCGCGUAGGCGGCCUUCUAAGUCAGACGUGAAAUCCCUCGGCUCAACCGGGGAACUGCGUCUGAGACUGGAAGGCUUGAAUCCGGGAGAGGGAUGUGGAAUUCCAGGUGUAGCGGUGAAAUGCGUAGAUAUCGGGAGGAACACCAGUAGCGAAGGCGGCACUCUGGGCCGGUACUGACGCUGAGGAGCGGAACGCGUGGAGAGCGAACAGG